AACAUGACUCUCGGCAACGGAUAUCUCGGCUCUCGCAUCGAUGAAGAACGUAGCGAAAUACGAUACGUGGUGUGAAUUGCAGAAUCCCGCGAACCAUCGAGUUUUUGAACGCAAGUUGCGCCCGAGGGUCCUGCCCGAGGGCACGCCUGCCUCAUGGGCGUAAUAA
rnacentral:rRNA from 4 species